UAUGCAUUUAGGCUAAAGGAACCUGGAAAAACACAUGAAUCAAAAUAAAAGUUGAUUCACCUUUCCAGGGCAGAGUUACCAGCGUCAAAACUCUCAGGCGAGAUCUACCAGUGACGUUCUGACCGCAUGCCUCUCUGCAAGGAAAGUGGUAUGUGUUGUUUUUUCCAGCAGUGGAAAUACAAAUGAUUAACUCUGGAAACCAUGGCUGUUUCACUGAUAACUAAUUUGUUUGCUGAUAAAUGAUUACCCAGGAGCCAGAAUAGAGACCCAAAAGUCAAACUGCAAAAAUUAUUAAGUUCCCUCUGUAUGCAGAAUAUUGUGCAACAUGGUUAUGGGUACUACAGUGGAUGUGAGUGUGUAGACCUUGUACAAUAGAGCUUAUAGGCUAAUGAGAAGACAGGAAGAAACAACAGGAACACAUAUAGCUGGAAUGCAGAUGGGAUCUGUGCUACUUACGCUAGCCAUGGGAUGAUUAGAACAAGAUAAGAGACAUGAGGAAGACUUCUUCAAGGAGGUGCUCAAGCCAUGUUUUGGAAAAGAGAACUCAAGGUCUGGCAGGGAGAAAGGAGCAAGGUCCUCUUCUCCCUGAAGCCUGUCACAGUUCCUGUGCAGAGAGAGAGGGCACUGCAGCACCCAGGCGCUGACUGCCUUUUGUCAGUCUCAUUUGCAGGCCCCCAGCUGGAGAACCCAGGAGGAAGAGGAAAAAAGUUUUUUCCUCCUCUACACUCCCCAUGCAUGACUAAAGAGUAGGAGGAGUCAGCAAGGCAGACAUAUAUAGUACCCAGGAGGUGGACAAACAACUGCCUUGGUGGAAACUCUGUCCUUUCUGGACUUAUCCUGGUGCCACUGAGACUGUGCAGCAAACCAUGUAUCUGGCUCCCCUCCCACCUUCUCACCUUGGAACACCACCGGCUGUAGGCAUCUACAUGCAGCAGGAAGCAUCACUGAGUAAGUUCGACUACACAUCAAGGGUAGACACCGCACUGUCCAUCCAGCCUGCUCUGAACUGGCCCUGGGAAGGCGUGUCUGGAGAAGCUGUGUUGGAAGGAUUAGAAUAAUACACAUCUCCACACUUACCCACUCUGCAUGGGCUGCCUGAGAAAACUGUGUACCAGAAUGUGUUAAGAGUUGGAGAGGACAGAUGCAGGUUUUAAGAGCCUGUUUUUUGUGCCCUCUUCAGGAAGAUUAAGUGGAUCCUCCUAUAGAAAGGUGUAUUCAUGAAGGCUGCCUGCAGUGGACUGAGUGGUCAUUCCACUUGGGGUCAAGAUGGGGUUCAUGACAAAGCAUGUAACAGAGCACCAAGGAGGUGCCCUGGCCAUAUUGGAUGGAGUUCAGGACAGAAUCCAGUCCUGAACAAGGAGGAAUGGAGUACCUGGUCCCACACUUACGGGGAAAGCAUCACCCGAAAGUGAGAACGCCUAGAGGCAGGAAUCAUGGAGGUUUCCUUAACUGUCUGUCUGCAACAGCAGAGAUGGGGUCUUGCUAUGUUGCCCAGGCUGGUCUCAAACUUUGGCCUCUUGCCUUGGCCUCCUGAAGUGCUAGGAUUACAGGUGCUAGAGAUGACACUGCAGAGUAGAGAACAAAGGAAUCUUAGUAAUUGUUCAAUCCAAUCUCCACACUUUAAAGAUGAAGAAACUGGUAUUGAGAAAAAUACACAGCUUAUCCAAGGUUGCACUGCCGGUUGGUAGCUGAGAUGAAUUUAGAACCCACAUCUGAUGACUACACCAUAUUGCUCCCAGUUUCCCUGUCUGUUCCACAUGUAAAAGUCUGACUCUUCACUUCUCCUUUGAGUAUAUAGACUUUUAACAUUUUUGUAUGUCAAGAUGGACUUUUCCUCAUACCCAGCCCCUGCCUUUUCUCCUCCCUUCAUACCUUGCAGGAUCUUUAACAGAAUUUAAAAGGAGUUUUUUGUUUUGUUUUGAUGUAUCUAAUAAAAGUCAAGGGAGGGAGAGGGCCAGUAUAAGCAAGAGAACGGUUUACCUAUUUUGUAGAUGCUGUAGUCUGAGGAAUCAGAAACACACAAAGGUUUGAAGAACUGGUACAUGCUCCCAGAUGGGAAGCCAGGACUCUUGGUAGGAUCUUGAGGACAAGGCAAAGGACAAUAAGAGAGUGAGGGGAUCCUAGAGAUGGAAUCAAGGAAGAGAAACUAGAGAGAGAAAAAGGAACUGGCUAUCCAUCCAAGAUGGAUCCUGUGUGGACUGAUGGGUGCCUUGGCAUCAUCAUUUAGCAGACUUCAUGUGGUUGAAUAAUUGGCCAAUGGAAGGAAUUUCUUUUUUGGUAACAGACUGUGUGUGUACAGUUAUGGGUCUUAAUUUAUAAUAAAAGGUUACAUUGAAAAUUGA